rnacentral:pre_miRNA from 1 species
GUGGGCAUCUUACUAGACAGUGCUGGAUUUUUUGAAUCUACUCUAACACUGUCUGGUAACGAUGUUUAA